rnacentral:tRNA from 1 species
GGGGAAGAGUUCAGUGGUAGAGCACCUGCUUGGCAUGCAGAAGGGCCCAGGUUCAAUCCCAGUGGCGUCUCCA